UACGGAGGGGGCAAGCGUUAUUCGGAAUCAUUGGGCGUAAAGGGCGCGUAGGCGGCUAGGCAAGUCAGGGGUGAAAUCCCUCGGCUCAACCGAGGAAUUGCCUCUGAAACUGCCCAGCUCGAGGCCGGGAGAGGGUAGUGGAAUUCCCAGUGUAGCGGUGAAAUGCGUAGAUAUUGGGAGGAACACCAGUGGCGAAGGCGGCUACCUGGACCGGUUCUGACGCUGAGGCGCGAAAGCGUGGGGAGCAAACAGG
rnacentral:rRNA from 1 species